rfam:Oryza rufipogon genomic scaffold, chr12
GAUUUCAACUGAAAAAGUCAUCGACAACAAAAUUGUAUAACUCAUCAAGAUCUAUAACUUUUAUUUUGGUCAUUUCUACAUCCGACAAAGUGAUAGUAACAUUGUUCAUAAAAUUUACAUCUCUAUCAUUUGUUUUUAUAAACUAGAAGAGAGAGAUGUAAAUUUUAUGAACAAUGUUAUUAUCACUUUGUCGGAUGAAGAAAUGACUAAAAUAAAAGUUGUAUGUCUUGAUGAGUUCUACAACUUUUAUGUUCAUGACUUUUUCAGCUGAAUUU